AUUCGAUCCAAGUACUCUCUCUCUCUCUCUCUCUCUCUCUCUCUCUCCUCUCUCUCUCUCUCUCUCUCUCAGAGUGUAAUCGAUGUUGUUCACGGUUCAAUCACCGAAGUCUUGUUAUCCAUUUCUCGCAUUCGACGAAGCCGAAAAUCUUCAACCAACUCGCAUUUGACGAAAUCGGAUUGAAGCCAAAAAUAUUCAACUGACCCGCGUUCGAAGAAAUCAAAUUGACGCCAAAAUCUUCAACCAACUCGCAUCAAGUAAAGACGCGGAAUCGUGACGCCACACAUCCAAGUUAUGACAAGUUGAAGCAACUUAUCGGUUCGGCUCCGACGCGGUGGCUCUUCGGCAAACCACAGGUAGGUUCUGCUUUUUAUCCGUUUCUUCUUCAAUUCCUCUUCUCUGCGCCUCCAUCUUAUUCUUGCUGUGACGUCGUGGUUUGCCCGUGGUUUGUUUUAGCUUGCGUUUGAUGCGCAGGGCGAUAGUGGAUUGACUUACGGCAGGAUAAAAGUGCAGGACUUGCUGCAGAAUGAUGGAUUGGAAUUGUUGCAGAUCAAUGAAGGAGAAGCUGCAAAGUGAUGAAGAAGAGAAAUUGUUGCAGAAUAAUGAAGAAGAAGAUUGAAACACAACCGAGUUUUCUCUCUUUAUGAUGGAGUGAAGAGGUAUGGAAUGAAGCAAAUUGAGUUUUUUUUCUCUCUGAUGCAGUGAAGAAGAUGGAAUGAAACAAAUUGAGUUUUUUCUCUCUAUGAUGGAGUGAAGAGGGGAUGUUAAUGUUCUGUCAUGUCAAAUGAAAUUAUGCAGGGUGCUUCAUAUUAUGAACUUUGACUUGGUGUGCUGUUGAACGAAUUCACAAGGUUCUAUUUGGAGCCUUCACUUGGUAUGCUUUGUGUGCAAAAUGCAAGGUUCACUUGUCCUGCUGAAAUUGGAGGGUUUACUUGUUAGUUGGAAAUUCAAAUGGUGGGUUAAUUGUGAAUUCAAAGAUGGUAGAUUUGGCAAGGUGUACAAGUUUUACAACAUACAGAGAUGGGGAUGCCAUUGAAUCCCCGGGCUUGGUUGUAUGGUGGAAAGACAAGCUUGUUUCAAUAAAGCUAAUUUUGACAUAGGAAUACACUUCCGGAAUGAAAUCCUGGGCUCUUAGUUGGUGCACCUGUCCCGUUCUGGAAUGGUUAAUUCAAUGUACUAGUUAAUAAUUAGUGUUGAUUAUAUGAGUUCAGAUGGUUAAAGGGAGUUAGUUGAGUAUGUUAAUUGAUGGCUUGGAAAAUGAAUUGUUAGUUAGGCUUGGUUUUGAAUGCAUUAGAAUUUGAUGUUAUGUUAAAUAUUAUGCUGAAGGAAGCUAAGUGUAUGGUGUCCUUUUGUUUGUAUUGCAUAAGUUGCAGUAAGCCAAGUUGGUUCGUGUAUGGCUUAUGAUUUUCAUGGCUUUGAAUGAUUGGUUUUGGCUUGUAGGUGUGCAUAAUGUUAACUCACUUUCACUCUUGAAAGAAAUUUCAGCAUCUUCUUUCUCUUUC